UACGUAGGGUGCGAGCGUUAAUCGGAAUUACUGGGCGUAAAGCGUGCGCAGGCGGUUGUGUAAGACAGAUGUGAAAUCCCCGGGCUUAACCUGGGAACUGCAUUUGUGACUGCUCAACUAGAGUAUGUAAGAGGGGGGUGGAAUUCCACGUGUAGCAGUGAAAUGCGUAGAUAUGUGGAAGAACACCGAUGGCGAAGGCAGCCCCCUGGGACAAAACUGACGCUCAUGCACGAAAGCGUGGGGAGCAAACAGG
rnacentral:rRNA from 1 species